rnacentral:rRNA from 1 species
AUUGAACGCUGGCGGCAGGCCUAACACAUGCAAGUCGGGCGGAUGAAGGGAGCUUGCUCCUGUAUUCAGCUGCGGACGGGUGAGUAAGGCCUACGAAGCUACCUGGUAGUUAGGGAUAGCGUCCGUUCACGGGCGCUAAUACCACAUACGUCCUGAUGGAGAACGUGGGGGAUCUUCGGACCUCACGCUAUCAGAUGAGCCUAGGUCGGAUUAGCUAGUUGGUUGGGUAAAGGCCUACCAAGGCGACGAUCCGUAGCUGGUCUGAGAGGAUGAUCAGUCACACUGGAACUGAGACACGGUCCAGACUCCUACGGGAGGCAGCAGUAGGGAAUAUUCGACAAUGGGCGAAAGCCUGACGCAGCCAUGCCGCGUGUGUUAAGAAGGUCUUCGGAUUGUAAAGCACUUUAAGUUGGGAGGAAGGGAAGUAAGAUAAUACCUUGCUGUUUUGACGUUACCUAAAGAAAAAGCACCGGCUAACUUCGUG